UUGUGGCCACAUCAUGUUGAAACCAGUUCCCAUGCAAUCCCAAAAGUUAAGCAAUAUUGAUCCUGGUUAGUAUCUAAAUGGAUGACCACUUGGGAAUACCAGAUGCUGUAUG